rnacentral:rRNA from 1 species
GAUGAACGCUAGCUACAGGCUUAACACAUGCAAGUCGAGGGGCAGCGGGAUUGAAGCUUUGCUUCAAUUGCCGGCGACCGGCGCACGGGUGAGUAACACGUAUUCCAACCGUGCCGUCUACUCUUGGACAGCCUUCCUGAAAGGAAGAUUAAUACAAGAUGGCAUCAUGAGUCCACAUGUUCACAUGAUUAAAGGUAUUCCGGUAGACGAUGGGGAUGCGUUCCAUUAGAUAGUAGGCGGGGUAACGGCCCACCUAGUCUUCGAUGGAUAGGGGUUCUGAGAGGAAGGUCCCCCACAUUGGAACUGAGACACGGUCCAA